UACAGAGGUCCCAAGCGUUGUUCGGAUUCACUGGGCGUAAAGGGUGCGCAGGUGGCGGGGUAAGUUUGAUGUGAAAUCUCCGGGCUUAACCCGGAAAUGGCAUUGAAUACUAUCCGGCUAGAGGAUUGGAGGGGGGACUGGAAUUCUCGGUGUAGCAGUGAAAUGCGUAGAUAUCGAGAGGAACACCAGUGGCGAAGGCGAGUCCCUGGACAAUACCUGACACUGAGGCACGAAAGCUAGGGGAGCAAACAGG
rnacentral:rRNA from 1 species